CAAGUCGAGCGGAAACGAUCCUAGCUUGCUAGGAGGCGUCGAGCGGCGGACGGGUGAGUAAUGCAUAGGAAUCUACCCGGUAGUGGGGGAUAACCUGGGGAAACCCAGGCUAAUACCGCAUACGUCCUACGGGAGAAAGCAGGGGAUCUUCGGACCUUGCGCUAUCGGAUGAGCCUAUGUCGGAUUAGCUAGUUGGUGAGGUAACGGCUCACCAAGGCUGCGAUCCGUAGCUGGUCUGAGAGGAUGAUCAGCCACAUCGGGACUGAGACACGGCCCGAACUCCUACGGGAGGCAGCAGUGGGGAAUAUUGGACAAUGGGCGAAAGCCUGAUCCAGCCAUGCCGCGUGUGUGAAGAAGGCCUUCGGGUUGUAAAGCACUUUCAGUGAGGAAGAAAGCCUUGAGGCUAAUACCCUCGAGGGAGGACAUCACUCACAGAAGAAGCACCGGCUAACUCCGUGCCAGCAGCCGCGGUAAUACGGAGGGUGCGAGCGUUAAUCGGAAUUACUGGGCGUAAAGCGCGCGUAGGCGGCUUGAUAAGCCGGUUGUGAAAGCCCCGGGCUCAACCUGGGAACGGCAUCCGGAACUGUCAGGCUAGAGUGCAGGAGAGGAAGGUAGAAUUCCCGGUGUAGCGGUGAAAUGCGUAGAGAUCGGGAGGAAUACCAGUGGCGAAGGCGGCCUUCUGGACUGACACUGACGCUGAGGUGCGAAAGCGUGGGUAGCAAACAGGAUUAGAUACCCUGGUAGUCCACGCCGUAAACGAUGUCGACUAGCCGUUGGGCUCCUUGAGAGCUUUGUGGCGCAGUUAACGCGAUAAGUCGACCGCCUGGGGAGUACGGCCGCAAGGUUAAAACUCAAAUGAAUUGACGGGGGCCCGCACAAGCGGUGGAGCAUGUGGUUUAAU
rnacentral:rRNA from 1 species